GGUCUGAUCACUCCAUGGGUGCAGACGCCUUACCUACUCUCUCGGUUCCUGGCAGCCCUGGACUGGUGCAUUCCUGGCAGGGGCCCCAGAAGAAGGUAAUCUUUCCUUUUCCAUCUGUAAAAUGGUGACAGGAGCACACAGCCUAGCCACCGCCCAGCGUGGUUGGGAUGUGCAGAGGGAACGCAUUUCCACAGUCACUGGGUAUCUACUCUGUGAUACACACUUUGCCUCUGUUACGUAAUUGAAUUCUUGGGACACUGCCAUGUGGUCACGAGGUGCAAUGGUAUUCUGCUUUCCAAUCUGGAUUCUAUACAGUGACCUGAAUCCCCUGACCUCUGUUCCACCUGGAACAGUUUUCUCCCUGAGUUCAUAAAAGUGUUUGGCUGGAUCACUUUGGUCUCCGAAACCUACUCACACCUUGCAGGGUUGAGGGAGGUCUUUCUACCUGCUGUUCUGUAGACUCCAGGAAGAAAGGGUCAUGGCAACCUUGUCCUCAUGUGUCUUUGUCAGCGCUGGUACCCUGCACUAAGCAGGUGUACAGUGUCCUGGACAAGCUGCAGCAUGAACGAGUGACCAUCGCGUGGGGCACACUGGCCGGAAGAAGUCACCUCUUCCAGACCCUUAGCUAACACAUGGCUGCCCUGCUCUCUCUGGUCCAGAGUCUGUGCAUCUGUAUUACCAAGGGCUUGCACGAGGUGGUCUCAAGGGACCCUUCCAGUUUUGACAUCUGUGCCUUCGUCCCCAUACUCCUUAAGCAUGCUGAGGCUCAGGGAGGAAAUCCGAGCUUCUCAGCAGGGACACAGAAGGAUCUGAUGUGUUCUCCAUGUGAGCCAAAGCCUGUGUCCCUUUCACAGGCUCACUCCACCCCCUCCAGUCCUCCAUCUGGGCCUCUUUCGCGUGGCAGGCAGCAACAUCUGUCUCAGGCACUCCGUGCCGGAAUGACUCGUGCCUCAAGUAUGUCCUCAGAAAGCCCUGGAGAUGGGGAGCCUGCUGGGAGUUUAUGUAACUCGAUGAGUGGCCAGAAGAAUGUACGCAAAGGGCUCUGAUUCUGGGCUGGGUCAGCCUUCCGUGGCCACGCGGGGUCACUCGGCUGCCGCUAGCUGUGAGCAGACUGCGUGGGAUGGAGAACCCCUUGGGGGAGGGGACAGGAGAUGCCUCCUCUACUGCAUGUUCUCUUUUGAUGGCGACUGCCCUUUUUAACCUGAAAAGGAAGAGUUUGAGACAGCUAACCCAAGCAUAAAGAGUCUGAAAAAUAAAUGGAUCAGGAUGAAGGGAAAAUUGAGUUUUCUCCUCUUGAACCCUUCUCCAUCCUGCUCUCUGAGUGAGGACCUGUGUGGCCUGCAUCUAGAUCCUUGGUGGGUUGGGCUAUGGGGGGGGGUCACUGUCAGGAGGUCGACAGAGGAGAGGAGGGUGACCUGAUGAGGUCACUCUGGCCAGGCCGUGUCCUUCCAGAGAGGAGAUCAUCCCUUCUCAAGGUGACCUCGACAAGGCUCUCCCUUUUUCAGACACUUGACUGUUCCAUCCCUUGGUACCCAGGGCUGAUAAACUCCACUGGGACUAGUCCCUAGUCACCUUGUGCUUCCCCUACUUGCAGCCCAUACCUCUGUAAGCGUCCCAUUGUAAAUAAAGUCUUCUU